CUGUUAUUUCCUGUGUGUUGGGAGAAUGGAGAGAAAAAACCCCGAGCCCAGCCGCUUUCGGCCCCUGCGAGGCGGCCGCGGCCUCCGCCAGGGGAGCCCGCCCUGAGGCGCGCCUGACCGGGGAGCGAGCGCGCGGGCCGGAGCGAGCCUCGAGGGGCCGCGGCCCCGGCCCGCCCCGCCGCCGGCCCGGGCACCCGAGCUGGAGGCGGCGGAGCCACCCCCACCCCCACCCCCACCCCGCGCAGCGCCGCCCGCCGUCGCCACCGCUCCCUCCCCUCCCGCCCCCGGCGGAGGCCGAGGGACGGGGCGGGGGGCUCCUGCAGCCAAUGCUCCGCAGAUGCUGAAGAACCGCAAUUAGUUUCACUGAUUUUAUGGUGUGUGAAAGCCUUAGGCCAUGCUUUUGACUGGAGGGCUGUUGGCCUGCUGCUGUGCUGCUGAACAGUAUGCAGUCCUUUCGGGAGCAAAGCAGUUACCACGGAAACCAGCAAAGCUACCCACAGGAGGUACACGGCUCAUCCCGGCUAGAAGAGUUCAGCCCUCGUCAGGCCCAGAUGUUCCAGAAUUUUGGAGGUGCAGGUGGCAGUAGUGGCAGCAGUGGCAGUGGCAGUGGUGGUGGACGACGAGGAGCAGCAGCUGCUGCGGCAGCGAUGGCUAGUGAGACCUCUGGCCAUCAAGGUUACCAGGGUUUCAGGAAAGAGGCUGGAGAUUUUUACUACAUGGCAGGCAACAAAGACCCCGUGACUACAGGAACCCCACAGCCUCCUCAGCGAAGGCCUUCUGGGCCUGUGCAGAGCUAUGGACCCCCCCAGGGGAGCAGCUUUGGCAAUCAGUAUGGGAGUGAGGGUCACGUGGGCCAGUUUCAAGCACAGCACUCUGGCCUUGGCGGUGUGUCGCAUUAUCAGCAGGAUUACACAGGGCCUUUCUCUCCAGGGAGUGCUCAGUACCAACAGCAGGCUUCCAGCCAGCAGCAGCAGCAGCAGCAGCAAGUCCAGCAGUUGAGACAACAGCUUUACCAGUCCCAUCAGCCCCUGCCACAGGCCACUGGCCAACCAGCAUCCAGCUCAUCCCAUCUACAGCCAAUGCAACGGCCCUCAACUCUGCCAUCCUCUGCUGCUGGUUACCAGUUAAGAGUGGGUCAGUUUGGCCAACACUAUCAGUCUUCUGCUUCCUCCUCCUCCUCCUCCUCCUUCCCUUCACCACAGCGUUUUAGCCAGUCUGGACAGAGCUAUGAUGGCAGUUACAGUGUGAAUGCUGGAUCUCAGUAUGAAGGACACAAUGUGGGUUCUAAUGCACAGGCUUAUGGAACACAAUCCAAUUACAGCUAUCAGCCUCAAUCUAUGAAGAAUUUUGAACAGGCAAAGAUUCCACAAGGGACCCAACAGGGGCAGCAGCAGCAGCAACCGCAGCAACAACAACACUCUUCUCAGCAUGUGAUGCAGUAUACUAACGCUGCCACCAAGCUGCCCCUGCAAAGCCAGGUGGGGCAGUACAACCAGCCUGAGGUUCCUGUGAGGUCCCCCAUGCAGUUUCACCAGAACUUCAGCCCCAUUUCUAACCCUUCUCCAGCUGCCUCUGUGGUUCAGUCUCCAAGUUGUAGUUCUACCCCAUCUCCUCUCAUGCAGACUGGGGAGAAUCUCCAGUGUGGGCAAGGCAGUGUGCCUAUGGGUUCCAGAAACAGAAUUUUACAGUUAAUGCCUCAACUCAGUCCAACCCCAUCAAUGAUGCCCAGUCCUAAUUCUCAUGCCGCAGGCUUCAAAGGGUUUGGACUAGAAGGGGUACCAGAAAAGCGACUGACAGAUCCUGGGUUGAGUAGUUUGAGUGCUCUGAGUACUCAAGUGGCCAAUCUUCCUAACACUGUCCAGCACAUGUUACUUUCUGAUGCCCUGACUCCUCAGAAGAAGACCUCCAAGAGGCCCUCAUCUUCCAAGAAAGCAGAUAGCUGCACAAAUUCUGAAGGCUCCUCACAACCUGAAGAACAGCUGAAGUCCCCUAUGGCAGAGUCAUUAGAUGGAGGCUGCUCCAGCAGUUCAGAGGAUCAAGGUGAGAGAGUGCGGCAACUAAGUGGCCAGAGCACCAGCUCUGACACCACCUACAAGGGUGGAGCCUCUGAGAAAGCUGGCUCCUCACCGGCACAAGGUGCUCAGAAUGAACCCCCCAGACUCAAUGCUAGUCCUGCCGCAAGAGAAGAGGCCACCUCACCAGGCGCUAAGGACAUGCCAUUGUCAUCCGAUGGGAACCCAAAGGUUAAUGAGAAGACAGUUGGGGUGAUUGUCUCCCGGGAAGCCAUGACAGGUCGGGUAGAAAAGCCUGGUGGACAAGAUAAAGGCUCCCAAGAGGAUGAUCCUGCAGCCACUCAAAGGCCACCUAGCAAUGGUGGGGCAAAGGAAACCAGUCAUGCAUCACUUCCCCAGCCAGAGCCUCCAGGAGGAGGAGGGAGCAAAGGAAACAAGAAUGGCGAUAACAACUCCAGCCAUAAUGGAGAAGGAAAUGGCCAGAGUGGCCACUCUGCAGCGGGCCCUGGUUUUACAAGCAGAACUGAGCCUAGCAAAUCUCCUGGAAGUCUGCGCUAUAGUUACAAAGAUAGUUUCGGGUCAGCUGUGCCACGAAAUGUCAGUGGCUUUCCUCAGUAUCCUACAGGGCAAGAAAAGGGAGAUUUCACUGGCCAUGGGGAACGAAAGGGUAGAAAUGAAAAAUUCCCAAGCCUCCUGCAGGAAGUGCUUCAGGGUUACCACCACCACCCUGACAGGAGAUAUUCUAGGAGUACUCAGGAGCAUCAGGGGAUGGCUGGUAGCCUAGAAGGAACCACAAGGCCCAAUGUCUUGGUUAGUCAAACCAAUGAAUUAGCUAGCAGGGGCCUUCUGAACAAAAGUAUUGGGUCUCUAUUAGAAAAUCCCCACUGGGGCCCCUGGGAAAGGAAAUCAAGCAGCACAGCUCCUGAAAUGAAACAGAUCAAUUUGACUGACUAUCCAAUUCCCAGAAAGUUUGAAAUAGAGCCUCAGUCAUCAGCCCAUGAGCCUGGGGGUUCCCUGUCUGAAAGAAGAUCAGUGAUCUGUGAUAUUUCUCCACUAAGACAGAUUGUCAGGGACCCAGGGGCUCACUCACUGGGACACAUGAGUGCCGACACCAGAAUUGGGAGGAAUGACCGUCUCAAUCCAACUUUAAGUCAGUCGGUCAUUCUUCCUGGUGGUUUGGUGACCAUGGAAACCAAGCUGAAAUCCCAGAGCGGGCAGAUAAAAGAAGAAGACUUUGAACAGUCUAAAUCUCAAGCUAGUUUCAACAACAAGAAAUCUGGAGACCACUGCCAUCCGCCUAGCAUCAAGCAUGAGUCUUACCGCGGCAAUGCCAGCCCUGGAGCAGCGACCCAUGAUUCCCUUUCAGACUACGGCCCGCAAGACAGCAGACCCACGCCAAUGCGGCGGGUCCCUGGCAGAGUUGGUGGUCGGGAGGGCAUGAGGGGUCGGUCCCCUUCUCAAUAUCAUGACUUUGCAGAAAAAUUGAAAAUGUCUCCUGGGCGGAGCAGAGGCCCAGGGGGAGACCCUCAUCACAUGAAUCCACACAUGACCUUUUCAGAGAGGGCCAACCGGAGUUCUUUACACGCUCCCUUUUCUCCCAACUCAGAAACCCUGGCCUCUGCUUAUCACGCAAAUACUCGGGCUCAUGCUUAUGGGGACCCUAACGCAGGUUUGAAUUCUCAGCUGCAUUACAAGAGACAGAUGUACCAACAGCAACCAGAGGAGUAUAAAGACUGGAGCAGCAGUUCUGCUCAGGGAGUAAUUGCUGCAGCGCAACACAGGCAGGAGGGGCCACGGAAGAGUCCAAGGCAGCAGCAGUUUCUUGACAGAGUACGGAGUCCUCUGAAAAAUGACAAAGAUGGUAUGAUGUAUGGCCCACCAGUAGGGACUUACCAUGACCCCAGCGCCCAGGAGGCUGGGCGCUGCCUAAUGUCUAGUGAUGGUCUGCCUAACAAGGGCAUGGAAUUAAAGCAUGGUUCCCAGAAGUUACAAGAAUCCUGUUGGGAUCUUUCUCGGCAAACUUCUCCAGCCAAAAGCAGUGGUCCUCCAGGAAUGUCCAGUCAAAAAAGGUAUGGGCCGCCCCAUGAGACUGAUGGACAUGGACUAGCUGAGGCUACACAGUCAUCCAAACCUAGCAAUGUUAUGCUGAGACUUCCAGGCCAGGAGGAUCAUUCUUCUCAAAACCCCUUAAUCAUGAGGAGGCGUGUUCGUUCUUUUAUCUCUCCCAUUCCCAGUAAGAGACAGUCACAAGAUGUAAAGAACAGUAGCACUGAAGAUAAAGGUCGCCUUCUUCACUCAUCAAAAGAAGGCGCUGAUAAAGCAUUCAGUUCCUAUGCCCAUCUUUCUCACAGUCAGGAUAUCAAGUCUAUCCCUAAGAGAGAUUCCUCCAAGGACCUUCCAAGUCCAGAUAACAGAAACUGCCCUGCUGUUACCCUCACAAGCCCUGCUAAGACCAAAAUACUGCCCCCACGGAAAGGACGGGGAUUAAAAUUGGAAGCUAUAGUUCAGAAGAUUACAUCCCCAAAUAUUAGGAGGAGCGCAUCUUCGAACAGUGCGGAGGCUGGGGGAGACACGGUUACGCUUGAUGAUAUACUGUCUUUGAAGAGUGGUCCUCCUGAAGGUGGGAGUGUUGCCGUUCAGGAUGCUGACAUAGAGAAGAGAAAAGGUGAGGUGGCUUCUGACCUAGUCAGUCCGGCAAACCAGGAGUUGCACAUUGAGAAACCUCUUCCAAGGUCUUCAGAAGAAUGGCGUGGCAGCGGGGAUGACAAAGUGAAGACAGAGACGCAUGCAGAAACAGUUACUGCGGGAAAGGAACCGCCUGGUGCCAUGACAUCCACAACCUCACAGAAGCCUGGUAGUAACCAAGGGAGACCAGAUGGUUCCCUAGGUGGAACAGCACCUUUAAUCUUUCCAGACUCAAAGAAUGUACCUCCAGUGGGCAUAUUGGCCCCUGAGGCAAACCCCAAGGCUGAAGAGAAGGAGAACGAUACAGUGACGAUUUCACCGAAGCAAGAGGGUUUCCCUCCAAAGGGAUAUUUCCCAUCAGGAAAGAAGAAGGGGAGACCCAUUGGUAGUGUGAAUAAGCAAAAGAAACAGCAGCAGCCACCGCCUCCACCCCCUCAGCCCCCACAGAUACCAGAAGGUUCUGCAGAUGGAGAGCCAAAGCCAAAAAAACAGAGGCAAAGGAGGGAGAGAAGGAAGCCUGGGGCCCAGCCGAGGAAGCGAAAAACCAAACAAGCAGUUCCCAUUGUGGAACCCCAAGAACCUGAGAUCAAACUAAAGUAUGCCACCCAGCCACUGGAUAAAACUGAUGCCAAGAACAAGUCUUUUUACCCCUACAUCCAUGUAGUAAAUAAGUGUGAACUUGGAGCCGUUUGUACAAUCAUCAAUGCUGAAGAAGAAGAACAGACCAAAUUAGUGAGGGGCAGGAAGGGUCAGAGGUCACUGACCCCUCCACCUAGCAGCACUGAAAGCAAGGCGCUCCCGGCCUCGUCCUUUAUGCUGCAGGGACCUGUUGUGACAGAGUCUUCGGUUAUGGGGCACCUGGUUUGCUGUCUGUGUGGCAAGUGGGCCAGUUACCGGAACAUGGGUGACCUCUUUGGACCUUUUUAUCCCCAAGAUUAUGCAGCCACUCUCCCGAAGAAUCCACCUCCUAAGAGGGCCACAGAAAUGCAGAGCAAAGUUAAGGUACGGCACAAAAGUGCUUCUAAUGGCUCCAAGACGGACACUGAGGAGGAGGAAGAGCAGCAGCAGCAGCAGAAGGAGCAGAGGAGCCUGGCCGCACACCCCAGGUUUAAGCGGCGCCACCGCUCGGAAGACUGUGGUGGAGGCCCUCGGUCCCUGUCCAGGGGGCUCCCUUGUAAAAAAGCAGCCACUGAGGGCAGCAGUGAAAAGACUGUUUUGGACUCGAAGCCCUCCGUGCCCACCACUUCAGAAGGUGGCCCUGAGCUGGAGUUACAAAUCCCUGAACUACCUCUUGACAGCAAUGAAUUUUGGGUCCAUGAGGGUUGUAUUCUCUGGGCCAAUGGAAUCUACCUGGUUUGUGGCAGGCUCUAUGGCCUGCAGGAAGCGCUGGAAAUAGCCAGAGAGAUGAAAUGUUCCCACUGCCAGGAGGCAGGCGCCACCUUGGGCUGCUACAACAAAGGCUGCUCCUUCCGAUACCAUUACCCGUGUGCCAUUGAUGCAGAUUGUUUGCUACAUGAGGAGAACUUCUCGGUGAGGUGCCCUAAGCACAAGGUGAGUCAGAGGCCCCAAGAGCUACCAGCAGGGAUGGGAUCGAGGAUGGCUUCUCCUGAAAGACCUGAAGACCAGGUGUUGGUGGGCCUUAUCCACACCUGUCCCCACCUGUGCCUCCGGCUGCUAGUCCACUCCUGGCCAUGGGAGGGUGGAGGGGCAUGAUGCUGAAGGGAGACCCGUGGCAUGGGGGCCAGCACUCGGAGUAUUAUGAGGAUCCCAGGAGAAAUGUGUUUUGGGAGAGGGGGUGUUUGUCUGUUCAUUAAGAGAGGUGAGAAUAUCUAACUCAGUCAAGCCACUGAUUUCCACUUGAGGUGAAUAGAACCCCAGUUCACAGAUUGGCGUUUAGUAAGUCUGGUUCUAGGCCUUGAGGCCUGUGCAAAGGCAUCUUCCCAGACUAGAAGUUGAGCUGACCCCAAGGCUCUGGGGAAGCUCACAGUCUCUUCCAGGUUGUGCUUCUGCAGAAGCAGCCUGAUGCACAAUGGAUGGGCUGUCUCGGGCUCCACUUCCCAGUUUAUUUAGGAGGUGGUCUCGUGGUCGCUUCCUUUAGGAAAGGGUGGGAGGUAAGGGGUGAAUGGCCUGUUUGUGGAUACCACAUAUGUGUGUGGGGAGGGUGUAUAUGGAGAAGGAGCCCCAAGAAAGGAUCAGAACGGAGACCACUGCCACCUGAUGUUUCCUGCAGGGGCUGUACCACGUCUCUGGCUGAGGUCACACUGACACCUGGUGGUCACUGGUCCCUCAGAGUCUUAAAUCUAGUAGGGCCGAAAGUACUAGAAGGAGGUUGUCCAGAGAGGUCUGCCCUCAAAAUGCUCCUGAAAGAUGCUUGCUUAUGCUUUUCUUUAAAAAUUAUUUCCGGGGAAGAGCGGGGGGCCACAGGAUCUUAUAUUCUCUUUAUUUUUACUUAAUUUGCAUGUUAUUUUUAGAACUCCCCUUUUUAAGGGUCACAUUUUGCCUCAGAAAACCCUGUCUGAAUGUCUCCUGUUUGUCGGUCAGGACUGACUCUGCCUUUUCUUUCCUUUUCCGUGUGCCACUCCUGUUCUCCCUUUGCCCUCCCUGAUGUCUGCACUGUCCUCUCCCACCUGUCUGUCUCCUCUUGGUUUUGUCCGUGUCAGCCUCCCCUUCCGUGCCCUCUCCCCCCCUUGCAGAACAAGACCGCGAAAGGCAGCCUCAGCACAGAGCAGUCGGAGCGGGGGUGAGGGGGGCAGUGUGCUCGUGGGAAUGGAAAGGACAGCAAGCACAGGUGAGUCGGGGCCGCCGGGCUCCCUGCACCCUGCCCGGCUCCCAGCGGGCCUCGUUGCCUCUGCCCUCCUGCUCGCUCCAUGCUCUGCCGCCAGCAUUUCAUCCCGUGGAUGACAAUGCCAGGUGGAUGCAGUGUUCUUCCAUUGGUUACUUAGCUCCCCAGAAUAUCUGUGGAAAGGAGUGGGGGCUUCUAAACUGUCCACUGCCGAUGGGGUGCAGGGUGACUGUUCCUGAAGGCAGCCCUUCAGGGCACAGCUGGCCAGGGGUGGCCUUGUGAGUGGACACAACAGGCUUUUAGGUCUCUUUCUUGGGCAGGGCAUCUCUUGCCAGUAGCCUCUGCUCUUUCCCCCAUCUCAGAAAGGGUUCCAGUCAAAGGUCUCUUCUUCUUAAUUUACUACAUUUCUGUAAAGCUUAUGGUGUGUUUUCCUUUGAAAACAGCAGAACUGUUGGGUUUUGUUAUUAGAAAUCUUCUUUUUCCAGUAUUAUGAAGGAUUCCUUUUUGCAGAAGAGAAGUACAAAGGAAAGAAAAAUCCUCAAAGAUUUAGUAGACUCUAGCAUCUGAUUUAAUUUUACUCUUAAAAAUCUCGAGGCUGGGCAUGGUGGCUCCUACCUGUAAUGCCAGCACUUUGGGAGGCUGAGGCAGAAGGAUCGCCUAAGCCCAGGAGUUCAAGACCAGCCUGGGCCACAGUGAGACCCUGUGUCUACAUUAAAAAAAAAAAAAUUAGCCGUGCAUGGUGGUACGUGCCUUUAGUCCCAUCUACUCAGGAGGCUGAGCUGGGAGGAUCGCUUGAUCAAACCUGGAGGCUGAGGCUGCAGUGAGCCAUGAUCGUGCUGCUACAUUCCAGCCUGCACCACAGUGAGACCCUGUCUCAAAAAAAAGAAAAAAAAAUUCUUGUGAUUGAGUUGUGCUUGCUAUGAGUUUGUGUGGGAUUGUGGUCACGGCCCUCUUGGCAGGCAUCUGUGAAAACAGGAUGAUAGGACUUGGGGUCUCUAGAAGCUGCAGGCCUCUGAGCUCCAUGCUGCUCCUUCACCCUCCCUGCGUCACUGAGGCAUGAAGGGAAAUAGGUUGUAAAGAAAAGAAAAACCAAAAUGUACCUUGUGGCACUUGCUGCUACAGGAUGGGGCAGGAGGACUAGUUGUCUCAGAAAUAUUCAUUGAGGGGUCAUUUCUCUCAAAUGGGAGGACUUCUUUGUCGACCUCAGGAGUUUGACCCACACAGCUAACGCUAGACGUGUCCCUUCCAGCACCACCAUGUGCCUGACCAUCUUCUGGAACGUGCCCUCCUCCUCGUUACCACUACUAAUUUCCGGAGAAGGCCCCUCGGCUGCCACGCCAUUUGAGAAGUCAAGUGGGGGCUGCUAAGUGCCUUCUUGAUAGAGCGUUGAGUGUAGUGCCUUUCUCUUUCCUCUUCCGGAGAGUAGGGCUGGCAGUGAAGGGAUCAGAGCAAAGUGGGGAGGUGGGUGGAAGCCAUUCCAUGUGUUCCUGGAUCAGAGGAACCAGAUGAGCAAAUGAAGCCUCUUGGACUUGGAGUACAUUGCCACCAUCGGGGAGUGGCUGCUCGUUUUCCAGAACCUGCUGGGCAGCACUGCCUGCUCCUUUUCCUGGGAUUAGCCCUUAGGACAAGGCAGCCAUUGCGUUGCGUGGUUUUGAAAGGACUGUUUCUGUUGGCCCUCCUGCAUGUCCCUGCACUCCUGAGGGUGUCGCUGUGCCUUCCCAUUGUCACCCCUGUGCCAGCACAGGCCCAGAUGGUUAGAGUCAAGUUCUGUAGGGGACCACGAUGCAUAUUCCUGGAAUGUGUCCUAGAAGACCUGGUUAAGGAAAGAGCUUAAGUGUUUUUUGUUUUUGUCCUGGAAUGGCAUCUGUGUUUGAGAAAAAGAAAGUUCAGGCCCUGGGCCUGGUGGACAAAUCUCUUGGGAAUUUUGUUCAUCAUCUGUUCCUCUCUAGUCAUUCUUGGGCCUGCCUUCCUAGCUGACAGGGCCCUUGAUUCUUUUUUUUUUUGGAGAUGGAUUCUCACUCUGUUGCCCAGGCUGGAGUACAGGGGCAUGAUCUCAGCUCACUGCAACCUCCAUCUCUGGGGUUCAGGCGAUUCUCCCGCCUCAGCCUCUUGAGUAGCUGGGACUACAGGCGUGCACCACCACGACCAGCUAAUUUUUGUAUUUUUUGUAGAGAUGGGGUUUCACCAUGUUGCCCAGGCUGGCCUUGAACUCCUGACAUCAAGUCAUCUCCCCGCCUUGGCCUCUUGAAGUGCUGGGAUUACAGGCGUGAGCCACGGCACCUGGCCAACUCUUGAACAGAACAGUGAGCUUCAUCCUUCUGGGUCAAAGUACAGUGAUGAAGUGGCCUCACCCAUUGUAGAGAGUCGUCUCAGGUCCAUUGAGGUUGAACCAUUCCAUUCAGCUCUUGGAGUGAGAGGAUGGACUCACUGCAUCCAGUCCUGUCCAUCUGAAAUGUUUUUUAUGUGCUGUUCCCACAAGGCAGAUACCUUUUUCGGGUUUCCCAGUUCAGCAGAGUGACAUUGAGGGUGGUCACCGUCCUUCCUUUGUGGUAGAAGCCCUGGUGACUGGGGAUAGAAUCACACCUCUAACUAAAGGAGGGCUCAUCUUGGGCCCCAUGCUGGGGACAGAGAGCCGCCAUUAUUGGGUGCCCUGACAAGGCAGGGAACAGACAACGAAUGUGCGUGUGUGUCUGCCUCCUAGUGUGCCGUGUUCUGACAGAGUGAUAGGAUAGGUGCUGUGUGACUAAGGUCAGACCACUCCAUGUCUCUGUGCUUCGUUUUCUUCUGUAAAAACAGGAAUAGCAGUGCCAGCCUUUUGAGAUUCCAUUGGGAAAUGUCUCUAAGUGCCAGCACAGCACACUGGCUCUCAGCCCGUUGGUCUGCCAUGCCUAGCUGUGGGUUUCUCUUGGGAGUUGGAGGAGUCAAGGCAGCAGAUCGGACCCUGCAGCUGUCUCUUAUAGCAAAAAAUACCCAAGGCUUGGGGUUAAAAGAUGCCGCCCCUGCCUCCCAGCCUGUGAGGUAUCUGGUACCUGACCCUCUCCAGGAGUGCGGAGCGGGAGAAGUCCUUCUGCAGGCCUGUGGUUGCCCACUGUCUCCUUGUGCCAAGGUGGUUGCCUUGCUGGCUUGUGUCAUUGGUUGGCAGGGCUUUUGACUGUGGAAUCCCUAUACCCAGCUCUUCCUCCUGUCGUGAAUUAAACAAGGAGGCCCCAGCUUGCCCUAACAGGCCCUGUGGCCCAACACAUGGGAAGCAUAACCUUGAUCAGGGCUGAUGCUGCAUCCUGGAUGCUAUGUACCCUGCACAGAACAGCCAUGGAUGGACGCUGAGCAAGGCAGGGAAGGGGGGAGUGGCCCCCCCUGCCCCUGGAGCUGGACAUCACACAGCCCAUUUGUGUGUAUGCAUGAAUGUCACAUUCUAGAGUUCACCUUUCCCCAAACUGGUCCAGAGGCGGUCCGGGGUUACACCUCCAGAGGAGAGCCUGAGUCUGUCCACUUUCCUUCCCCACCAGCCCCAGCCCAGGCAUUGUGGGUGCUAUAGUGCCCGCCUCCCGGCCACUGCUCAGCAGCCACGUGCAGUCUUCAUUAGGCCUCCCUCCAGUCCUGUCUCCUCUACGUCAGAGAUUCUUGUCAUCUUCCAAACAAAGCCCAGACGUCUCACCUUGCCUUCCAGAGCCCUGUGGAAGUCUCAGGUGACUCUCCAGGCCCCUGGCUGCCUCCAGCUCCUCAGGGACCAGGCUUCCUCCCUCUGGGCUUCUGCACACACAGUUCUUGUGCUGGAAACACUUUGGCUCCCCAUCUUCAUGUUGAAAACAGGCUCCAUCUCCUGGGUCUCAGCUUAAAUGCUACUUCCUCAGAGAAGCCUUUCCCUUUCUAAAUCCUUGUCUCCAUUGCCCCUCUCCUCACUUGCAGCCGUCCUAGCAUCACCACCAUUUCAGAUCAUUUACUUGUUUACUACCCGUCUCUCCACUAGAAUGUAAGCUCCAUUAGGGCAGGGACCACGUCUGUCUUUGCACCAUCAAAGCCUAGCCCAGAGCGGGGCAUGUAACUAUGCUAGUGCCAAGUGAGUCUAUGUUAAAGAAAUGAGUGCAUCCCAGGCCGGGCGCAGUGGCUCACGCCUAGAAUCCCAGCACUUUGGGAGGCAGGCAGAUCACGAGGUCAGGAGAUCGAGACCAUUCUGGCUAACAAUACAAAAAUACAAAAAAUUAAAAUACUAAAAUACUAAAAAUACAAAAAAUUAGCCAGGCGUGGUGGUGGGCGCCAGUAGUCCCAGCUACUUGGGAGACUGAGGCAGGAGAAUGGCAUGAACCCGGGAGGUGGAGCUUGCAGUGAGCCUAGAUCGCACCACUGCACUCCAGCCUGGGUGACAGAGUGAGACUCCAUCUCAAAAAAAAAAAAAGAAAGAAAGAAAUGAGUGCAUCCCAGAGAAGAAAGGGCUCUUGGACCCUGACCAUCAGUGCCCUUAAUCAGUAUAGAUUCAGAAUUAGGUUUCCCUUCAUAUCCUCCCUCUCUAGUCGGAAUUAAUGUCUGUUUUAGAAAUGAGGAAAUGGGCUCUGGGCGAAUCCUGGCCAGGGUGAGUGGUGUUGAGAUGAUGAGUUUUUGCUGCAGUUGGGAAAGGCAGGCUUAGAGUCUGAUGUGGAAGGACGUGAGGAUGGCGUCCCGGGUUCAGGCCACGGAUGAGGCCAAAGGGGAGCAGAAAGGACAGUGUGAGCGAGAAGGGAAGGGAGGGAACAAGUGUGAGGGAGCUUGGGAAGGUGUUGGCCCAAGACGAAACCCUGGAUGCUGGCAGCUGAGCAGCAAGGUGAUGUUCUUUAAAAGAGAAUUCACAGUCUUCAGCACAGGGGCGUCAGGUCACUCCUGCUGUUCAGGCUGGCUGGCACCAGGGCUGCUCCCAGGCUCACUGUCUGGGAUCCAGCCAUCUCUCAGCCAAACGCCAUGCCGUAGGACAUGCAGCCCCUAGGGCCCAGUUAGGAAAGCCCCAGUCCCACCUCUGGCCAUGUCGCUUUGGGCUACACGUGUCGCCUUCCUGAGCUUUAGCUCUCUUGAAGAUGGGGGUCAGGCAGGUCCACAUUACUGUGAAAUAAUAUCUGUAAAGCUUCUAGCCCAGGGCCUGGCACAUAGUGCUUAGAGAAUUUUCCUUCCUAAUUUCACUACUGAAGGAACAACUUUUUUAAAGUAACUCUUGAAAAGUUAGGGUCCCAUUACAUUCAGGAUAUCAUGUGUUUGGGCUGGUCUAGUCAUCAGACCUGGGGAACACGAAGGCUGUGGAGGGCAGAGCCCCAGGCUGCAGGUGCUGAGGAACUGCCGCUGCCUGGGCCACCACGCACCCCAGGAGGGGCCCACAAGUAGCAGCUCGCAGAGCCGACUGGCCAGGCAGACCCUGGCUGCUGACGUGUGCUUCAUUCUUCACUGGGGAGCUGGUGUGGGGUCCUGUUCUUCUGAGUAAUGAGCAAGAUUGGGGUGCAGGCCUAAGACUGCUGUGUAUUGGUAAAGAGGGCAAACCCUGCCCUGUCCCCUCCUUGAGCAGAGCCUGGCAGGGUACGUGUGGGCAUUGACCUUGAUUCACACGGGCAUCCUGCAACCCCAACAAGAUGACACCCUUCUGUGUUCCUGGAGGUAGGUGCCCAUUAGCUCAGCUGCUGGCCUGCAUUCCCAGGGCUUGCUUUUACUUGUCUGUGGUGAUGUGCCAUGGCCUCUGUGUGUGUUCCUGCUCAUUGGUGUUUUCUGCCAAGUAGUCAGGAACCUCCUUGGGCAAGAGCACGUGCAUGUACGUGCUUGGGAACAGCUCAAUCUUAGCUCCCACAGGCCCCAGCCUUCUUAGCAGUUCUGCGUGUGUGAACUUUAUGGAAGCAAAAAGGGCUGGUGACACUUGGGUUCUUGGGGUUUGUCAGGGGAGGGCACCAAUUUGGACUUGAGGAAGCAGUUAGGUGAGCCCCAGUGACAGUCAAGCACAGUGAUUGCAGAUAGCAAGUGAAGGAGCAAGUGAUAGCAAGUGCAGAUAGCAAGUGAAGGAGGGGCGAGGCUGCCACCACUUCUGGCUUCUGCCGAAAUUUUACUGGACUGAUUCCUAGGAAACUGCUGUUUUUCUUUGAGACCUUUCCACAUCAGAUGGCCCAUGAAGCAUUCCACAGGGACGUUUGGUACAAUCCAUCAGUCCUACGUGGGCCAUCAGAAUCCCCUUCUGCACCUGGGCUGGAAGAGGAGAGAAGCCCUCCAGCCCUGGGGAUGGGGUACCUAGGGGUCUCAGGCUUCUGAGAGGUCGAAAGGAUUAACAUAGUCCAGCUGUGUCUGAGCCUCAGAAAACCUGCCCUCCCUGUUAGAGGCCAUGGGAAGAGUGUUCUUUUUAAGCAUGAAGAACUGACUGUGGGCCAGGUGUAGUGGCUCACGCCUGUAAUCCCAACACUUUGGGAGGCCGAGGUGGGCAGAUCACCUGAGGCCAGGAGUUCAAGACCAGCCUGACUAACAUGGCAAAACCACAUCUCUCCUAAAAAUACAAAAAUUAGCCGGGUGUGGUGGCGUGCACCUGUGAUCCCAGCUACUUGGGAGGCUGAGGCACAAGAAUCACUUGAACCCAGGAGGCAGAGGCUGCAGUGAGCCAAGAUCGCACCACUACACUCCAGUCUGGGCAGUAGAGCAAGACUAUCUCAAAAAAAAAAAAAAAAAGACUUUGUCAUUACCCAAGCAUGGUGGCGUGUACCUGUAGUCCCAGCUACUUGGAAGGCUGAGGUGGGAGGAUUGCUUGAGCCCAGGAGGUCAAGGCUGCAGGGAGCCAAGGCGACAGAGCGAUGUCUUGUCUCAAAAACAAACAACUAGCUGUGUCGACUAGAGGCAGCUGUGAAACUGUCCUAAGAGGCUGGACUUCGAGAAGUUUCUUCCACAGAUUGACCAGGUGAGACUGUGGAGAUGAGAAGGUGGUGGACACUCGUGAUGGAAUGGAAAUCGUCCUACCGUGCAGCCACACCCUGCCCUGCCCCGCCCCGCCCCGCCCCGCGUGCCUGCCCAUGCCAGCACUUCCUUCCUUAAGUUCUCACAUCACACUCAAACCAGUGACACCACAGGAAAGAAAGACCCAAGACGUUGGAAUGGCUGUUUCCAUGGACACAAUCUCCAUAGUGACAAUGUGGGGGGAGGGGGGAGGGGUGGGAUGAUGGGGAAAGGGUGGGGGGGAAUUAAAAGGGAGGGAUAAAAAAUAUAUAUAUAUAAAUCUAUUUUUAGUCUGGAAAGACUUUGUUUAAAUGAAAGGUGCGCUAUCCCUUUUGAUUCUAUUUUAAAAUUAUCUAGUUAAAGAUCUCCAAAUUUGUUCCGAUGACAAGUGAAAUUUAAAUGUGAAAUUGAACUGAACAAACCCUCAUCUCAUAAAGGACGGGGUGUGUGUGUGGCAUUGAUCUUUAGCCUGUCUCACACCAGUUCAGAAAACACUAGACCCAGGAUUGAAAAAGCAGACAAACCACACCAGAACCAUCCUUUUGUCAUUAAUUUGUCUCAAAGUGGGAAGGUUUUGGGGGAGGGGAAAUACAGGGAUGGUCCAUGUUUUCAAGAGUAGGGGAAUGAUGUUUAAACACAAAAAUAAAUUUUUUUUCAUUUCCAGAAACACUAUUUAUUUAUGUUUUUUUUUUAAUUUUUCCUUUUGGGGGUGAAAUUGGCAGAUGCCUGGGGUCAUAGCUGUGUCCUGGGUCACUGUGGCUGGUGAGGACCUCAAGGACCCCAUCAAGUGUACACAGCAGCAGCAAAAUCAAGGGAUGACCCUCCUCUGGGGCCCCCUGUCCUCAGCACAUUCCAGGCAGCAGUGCCCUGACCCACAGGGACCCGUGGGGAUGGGAGGAGGCCCAGGCCUGUGCUGCCAGAGCUGGCAGUAUGAGCUGUAGGCAGGGACGGGGAGGGACUGUCGCUGUGAUCAGAGUGGGUUAAGCUGACCAGGAACACCCAUUUAGCCCCUUUUUCUUUUUGCUUUCAUUUUUAUAAAGGAAAAGAGGACCUGUCAGAUAGGCAGCCCCAUGCUACGUGAUUCUUUAUGUUGUGUUGUUUUGUUUUGUUUUGUAAAUUGUAUAAUUUUUAAAUAUCUGAGUUUUAAAAAAAGAAAAAAGUACAAAAAAAAUCUUGUUAUGGCCUUAAGAAGGGGUUAGUGCAUCUUUCAGGGGUCACUCUGCCAUGGGGAUAAAAUAGCUGUUUCACAAACAGUUUUAUUUAAAAAAACAAAAAACAAAAAAAAUCAAAAAAUUGAAAAAAUAAUAAACUUCAUUUUAACCUUG